CAGCAGCCGCGGUAAUACGUAGGGUGCGAGCGUUAAUCGGAUUUACUGGGCGUAAAGCGUGCGCAGGCGGCCCGUUAAGACAGGUGUGAAAUCCCUGGGCUCAACCUAGGAAUUGCGCUUGUGACUGGCGGGCUCGAGUACGGUAGAGGGGGGUGGAAUUCCUGGUGUAGCAGUGAAAUGCGUAGAGAUCAGGAGGAACACCGAUGGCGAAGGCAGCCCCCUGGGCCUGUACUGACGCUCAUGCACGAAAGCGUGGGGAGCAAACAGGAUUAGAUACCCUGGUAGUCCACACCCUAAACGAUGGGUACUAGCCGUUUGGUGCGCGAGAGCGCUGAGUGGCGAAGCUAACGCGUGAAGUACCCCGCCUGGGGAGUACGGCCGCAAGGUUGAAACUUAAAGGAAUUGGCGGG
rnacentral:rRNA from 1 species